GCCCCAAAAACCCAAAUGUUAAAAAAAAAAAAAAAUUUCAAGAAUGACUUAUUUUUAUAUGGUGUGACAUUAAGGUAACUGAGUUAGCGAACUUGGUUUUAAAUACAAGUUAGUAUGUGAAGCGAAAUAAAUGACAAGUUUUAAAAGUUUGAGGGGUUAAAAGGAAAAUGUGUUAAAUAAAACACUUUACAAAAAAAAGUCAGUAUCUUGGGGGGGGGGUUCUAUGCGUGCGAUCGAGAACAGGGCCAAGAGAAGAGCCAAAAACCCUAACAACCAAAAAUCAUCAAAUUGAUAAGGAGAUCAAGGGAAAAAUCGAAUGCAUGGGUCUGGAUACUCUUUAAUCUAAGUGUAUUGAUCAUAAGGAACGUGUCAAGGAGAGCUCAAGCAUAAGAGGAUAACGGGUCAAGAUAAGGCAAGGUGACAAAUACACUUAUUGGAGUACUCAAGGUUAUGAAUGUCGGACUUUCAAAGUGUUGAUAUAAUAAUGAAACGGUUGAAUCUUGAAAGGAUAAUCGGAUUGAAGUAACUUAUGCGGAACGUGUCAAGGAGAGCUCAAGCAUAGGAGGAUAACGGGUCAAGAUAAGGCAAGGUGACAAAUACACUUAUUGGAGUACUCAAGGUUAUGAAUGUCGGACUUUCAAAGUGUUGAUAUAAUAAUGAAACGGUUGAAUCUUGAAAGGAUAAUCGGAUUGAAGUAACUUAUGCGGUAAAUCCUCAAUUCAGGCGACUUGGAGAAUCGGAGCGAGCGCGUGUUCAUGUUAUGUCGUACCAAACGCUUCCGCUAGUUUGUCCAAAUGUUUUUGGUCCAAAAUUUGUUGUAAUGGUUUUUAGUAGUAUUUUGUUGAACGACUCGUAGAAUUGUAUCUAGUUUGAUUAUGAUUAAAACAGGGGUAUGUCCGUUUUACGGACGGGUCAUGCCCAAAUUUUGUUAAAAAUUAAUGCAUAUGUUAUUGAUAC
rnacentral:lncRNA from 1 species